AGAGUUUGAUCAUGGCUCAGAUUGAACGCUGGCGGCAGGCCUAACACAUGCAAGUCGAGCGGUAGCACAGAGAGCUUGCUCUCGGGUGACGAGCGGCGGACGGGUGAGUAAUGUCUGGGAAACUGCCUGAUGGAGGGGGAUAACUACUGGAAACGGUAGCUAAUACCGCAUAAUGUCGCAAGACCAAAGUGGGGGACCUUCGGGCCUCAUGCCAUCAGAUGUGCCCAGAUGGGAUUAGCUAGUAGGUGGGGUAAUGGCUCACCUAGGCGACGAUCCCUAGCUGGUCUGAGAGGAUGACCAGCCACACUGGAACUGAGACACGGUCCAGACUCCUACGGGAGGCAGCAGUGGGGAAUAUUGCACAAUGGGCGCAAGCCUGAUGCAGCCAUGCCGCGUGUGUGAAGAAGGCCUUCGGGUUGUAAAGCACUUUCAGCGGGGAGGAAGGCGUUAAGGUUAAUAACCUUGGCGAUUGACGUUACCCGCAGAAGAAGCACCGGCUAACUCCGUGCCAGCAGCCGCGGUAAUACGGAGGGUGCAAGCGUUAAUCGGAAUUACUGGGCGUAAAGCGCACGCAGGCGGUCUGUCAAGUCGGAUGUGAAAUCCCCGGGCUCAACCUGGGAACUGCAUUCGAAACUGGCAGGCUAGAGUCUUGUAGAGGGGGUAGAAUUCCAGGUGUAGCGGUGAAAUGCGUAGAGAUCUGGAGGAAUACCGGUGGCGAAGGCGGCCCCCUGGACAAAGACUGACGCUCAGGUGCGAAAGCGUGGGGAGCAAACAGGAUUAGAUACCCUGGUAGUCCACGCCGUAAACGAUGUCGAUUUGGAGGUUGUGCCCUUGAGGCGUGGCUUCCGGAGCUAACGCGUUAAAUCGACCGCCUGGGGAGUACGGCCGCAAGGUUAAAACUCAAAUGAAUUGACGGGGGCCCGCACAAGCGGUGGAGCAUGUGGUUUAAUUCGAUGCAACGCGAAGAACCUUACCUGGUCUUGACAUCCACAGAACUUUCCAGAGAUGGAUUGGUGCCUUCGGGAACUGUGAGACAGGUGCUGCAUGGCUGUCGUCAGCUCGUGUUGUGAAAUGUUGGGUUAAGUCCCGCAACGAGCGCAACCCUUAUCCUUUGUUGCCAGCGGUUCGGCCGGGAACUCAAAGGAGACUGCCAGUGAUAAACUGGAGGAAGGUGGGGAUGACGUCAAGUCAUCAUGGCCCUUACGACCAGGGCUACACACGUGCUACAAUGGCAUAUACAAAGAGAAGCGACCUCGCGAGAGCAAGCGGACCUCAUAAAGUAUGUCGUAGUCCGGAUUGGAGUCUGCAACUCGACUCCAUGAAGUCGGAAUCGCUAGUAAUCGUAGAUCAGAAUGCUACGGUGAAUACGUUCCCGGGCCUUGUACACACCGCCCGUCACACCAUGGGAGUGGGUUGCAAAAGAAGUAGGUAGCUUAACCUUCGGGAGGGCGCUUACCACUUUGUGAUUCAUGACUGGGGUGAAGUCGUAACAAGGUAACCGUAGGGGAACCUGCGGUUGGAUCACCU
rnacentral:rRNA from 1 species